GUGAUUGUAAGUCUGGACAAGAGAUUGAACGACACUUUGCUCCAAGCUGUUAAAGGUGAUAUUAUUGGUUUAAAAAUGAUUCAGAUCCAAGCAGAAUCUCUUUGCAAGGAUAAGGAUUAUUAAGGAGAUCCCAGCAACAGCUUAGGGGGAGCAUUUGGUGGAUCCACUAGUCAAACUCAACACCAAAUUGAAGAUGAACAGGACAUAUGAAGAACGUAUCUGCUUAGACAAAGGGUUUGAAGUCAAUAUCAUUCUCGGGUUCUAGUUCUUAUAUGUUCCUAAUGGUGAAGUGAAGAUUGG
rnacentral:lncRNA from 1 species